AUCCUUUGAAGGGCUGAAUUCUUG
rnacentral:piRNA from 1 species